CAGCAGCCGCGGUAAUACGGAGGAUCCAAGCGUUAUCCGGAUUUAUUGGGUUUAAAGGGUGCGUAGGUGGCCUGUUAAGUCAGGGGUGAAAGACGGUAGCUUAACUAUCGCAGUGCCCUUGAUACUGAUGGGCUUGAAUAAACUAGAGGUAGGCGGAAUGUGACAAGUAGCGGUGAAAUGCAUAGAUAUGUCACAGAACACCAAUUGCGAAGGCAGCUUACUAUGGUUUUAUUGACACUGAGGCACGAAAGCGUGGGGAUCAAACAGGAUUAGAUACCCCCGUAGUCCCUGUCUCUUAUAC
rnacentral:rRNA from 1 species